rnacentral:rRNA from 1 species
UACGUAGGGGGCAAGCGUUGUCCGGAAUCAUUGGGCGUAAAGCGCGUGUAGGCGGCUCGGUAAGUCCGCUCUGAAAAGUCCAGGGCUCAACCCUGGGAUGCGGGUGGAUACUGCCGGGCUCGAGUCCGGAAGAGGCGAGUGGAAUUCCCGGUGUAGCGGUGAAAUGCGCAGAUAUCAGGAGGAACACCAAUGGCGAAGGCAGCUCGCUGGGACGUGACUGACGCUGAGACGCGAAAGCGUGGGGAGCGAACAGG